rnacentral:rRNA from 1 species
UACGAAGGGGGCUAGCGUUGUUCGGAAUCACUGGGCGUAAAGCGCACGCAGGCGGAUUGAUAAGUCAGGGGUGAAAUCCCGGGGCUCAACCUCGGAAUUGCCUUUGAUACUGUCUGUCUUGAGUCCGGGAGAGGUGAGUGGAAUUCCUAGUGUAGAGGUGAAAUUCGUAGAUAUUAGGAAGAACACCAGUGGCGAAGGCGGCUCACUGGCCCGGUACUGACGCUCAUGUGCGAAGGCGUGGGGAGCAAACAGG